GAGAAUUCUGCCCCCAUAGCUUGUCAACAUCUCUUCAGCUUGGUGGCCCACCCAGUCCACCCAGCAGAGCGACCUGCCCCACACCAGUGGCUCGCAUGGGCCUUCUUAUCUCCUUGGCCCAGCUGAAUCUUGGUGAGCUGGUAGCGAGUUAUGAUCUGGGCAUCCUGGAGGAGCCAGCUUCCAGGGUAGCAUCAAUUGCUGGGAGGGGUCUGUGGUCUGGAAGUCACAUCUAGAGGACCGCCGAGCUUUGCUGAGGCAUCAUGGUGGGACUUAAAGAAGUAUCUUGGCCGGGCGCAGUGGCUCACACCUAUAAUCCCAGAACUUUGGGAGGAUGAGGCAGGAGGAUCAAUUGAGUCACGGAGUUCAAGACCAGCCUGGGCAACAGAGUGAGACUCUGUCUCUACAACAAAUUUUAAAAAAAUUAGUCAGGUAUGGUGACGUGCACGUAUAGUCUCAGCUACUUGGGAGGCUGAGGUGGGAGGAUCACUUGAGCUCGGGAGGUGGAGGUUGCAGUGAGCCAUGAUUGCGCCACUCACUCUAACAUAGGUGACAGAGUGAGAUCCCGUCUCCAAAAACAAACACAAACAAACUAAAAGAAGUAUCAGCUGCUACACAUCUGGAAUGACAACAUAUGCAGAAUACAAAUGUAAAUAGAAAACAUAGAAUAUAAAUUAUGAGUUUUAGUUGAGUAACGCUGACUUGGAAUUGGAAGAACAUUUGCAGGCAUCAGUAAUGGGAGA
rnacentral:lncRNA from 1 species